GGGGUUGUGGCUUAAUGGUAAAGCGCACUGAAAACACAAUUUCACGCGAUGACUACUAGGUCCUCGGACCUCUAGCAUGUCGAUAUGUCGAGUGGUUGGGUAACUCGGUGAGAUUGCUGGUUCGAGUCCAGCCGACUCCA